rnacentral:rRNA from 1 species
GACGAACGCUGGCGGCGUGCUUAACACAUGCAAGUCGAACGGAAAGGCCCUGCUUUUGUGGGGUGCUCGGGUGGCGAACGGGUGAGUAACACGUGAGUAACCGGCCCUUGACUUUGGGAUAGCUUCAGGAAACUGGGGCUAAUACCGGAUAGGAGCUCCUGCUGCAUGGUGGGGAGUGGAAAGUUUCGGCGGUUGGGGAUGGACUCGCGGCUUAUCAGCUUGUUGGUGGGGUAGUGGCUUGCCAAGGCUUUGGCGGGUAGGCGGCCGGAGAGGGUGACCGGCCACAUUGGGACUGAGGUACGGCCCAGUCUCCUACGUGAGGCAGCAGUGGGGAAUAUUGCACAAUGGGCGGAAGCCUGAUGCAGCAACGCCGCGUGCGGGAUGCCGGCCUUCGGGUUGUAAACCGCUUUCGCCUGUGACGAAGCGUGAGUGACGGUAAUGGGUAAAGAAGCACCGGCUAACUACGUG